rnacentral:rRNA from 1 species
CCUACGGGGGGCAGCAGUGGGGAAUUUUGGACAAUGGGCGCAAGCCUGAUCCAGCCAUUCCGCGUGAGUGAAGAAGGCCUUCGGGUUGUAAAGCUCUUUCGCAAGGGAAGAAAACUUAUCCUCUAACAUAGGAUGAGGUUGACGGUACCUUGAUAAGAAGCACCGGCUAACUACGUGCCAGCAGCCGCGGUAAUACGUAGGGUGCGAGCGUUAAUCGGAAUUACUGGGCGUAAAGCGUGCGCAGGCGGUUUGGUAAGUCAGAUGUGAAAUCCCCGAGCUCAACUUGGGAACUGCGUUUGAAACUACCAAGCUAGAAUAUGUCAGAGGGGGGUAGAAUUCCACGUGUAGCAGUGAAAUGCGUAGAGAUGUGGAGGAAUACCAAUGGCGAAGGCAGCCCCCUGGGAUAAUAUUGACGCUCAUGCACGAAAGCGUGGGGAGCAAACAGGAUUAGAUACCCGAGUAGUC